AUGUCGUUCGCCGGCGUGUCGGUCGUCGACAGCGCCAAGCACUGCACCUGCGACACGUCGGCCGUCUACGCCGGCGCGGACAGCGGGUACCACCUGCUUAUGGUCAGGGACUACUCGCGUACCAAGGUUCAGUUGCCCACCGGCGAGAGCGCCACCACCGGCCUUUUCACGGUGGGAGAAUAUGAUUGGUACAUCGAGUACUACCCCAACGGAGAAAACCCAAACUGCCGGGACUUCGUUUCGCUCUACGUCACGAGGCAUACCCUCUACGACUGCGAGGGCGAAGAGGAUGUGGAGGCCAAGUUCAGCUUCAGUCUCGUCGACCAGCUUGAGAAGCACAAGCCAGUGUACAUUCAUGGAACCAAUAAGACUUGCACCUUCUCCAGCAGUGCUCCCUCCUGGGGCAGCGACAGAUUUGUGAGAAGAGACGCCCUGGAACGAUCGGCGCAUCUAAAGGGUGAUUGUCUCACCAUCCGGUGCGACAUCAUGGUUGUUUGCAAGGAUCACAAAAUCGAGGAUGCCGCUGGCACCGUACCUGACAUAAACCAGCAUUUUGGCCACCUCCUUCAAAACAAGGUGGGUGCUGAUGUGACAUUUGAGGUCGGUGGCGAGACGUUCGCUGCGCACCGGUGUGUGCUUGCAGCCCGGUCCAAAGUGUUCAUGGCGCAGCUCUUUGGCCCCAUGAAGGAGGGCGCCACAACAUCCAGCGUCAUACAGAUCAAAGACAUGGAAGCAAAAGUGUUCAGGGCUUUGCUAAGCUUCAUCUACACAGAUUCACUCCCUGCGAUGGAGAAGGACAGCAUGGAGGAGGAUGAAAUGUCAGAAGUUAUGGACGAAGGGCGAGAAGAAGCAGCAGAGUUUGAAAUGUGGCUGCAAUGGUUGGAAGAUUUGUUUGUGGCGGCAGACAGAUACGAUCUCCAACUGCUCAAGUUAAUCUGUGAAAAGCAGUUGUCUGAGCACAUAAGUGUGAGCUCAGUGACGUCCACUCUUGCUCUAGCUGAGAAGCACCACUGCUGUGGAUUGAAGGAGGCGUGCUUGAAGUUUAUCCAAGUGCAGUCUCCCUCGUGCUUGCAAACAGUAAUGGCAACUAGUGGCUGGGAUCAUAUAGCAGUGACCUAUCCCUGGGUUGUGAAGGAGUUCAUUGCCAAGCUUGCUUCGAACCAGCGCAAGUAA
rnacentral:rRNA from 1 species